CCACCGUCAAUCGUGACGGCACCCGACAGUCCGGAACAGUCUAUACAACACUGUAAAAAUACCCUCGGCAUCCCAGUACGAGCGUAAAUUUAUUCUACACUAUUCUGGAUAUCCACCGCAUACAAACUGUGAUAAUACAAACAAACUACAGCUCCUAAAACAAAAUCUGGUAGUUUUCAGAAAACGACAGUGUAGAAUCUACAUGUUUUCUCCUAAAUCAAAUCUAAGUCCAACAUGUAUAAUAAAACUAGCAUCUAAAGCUCCAAUUCAGAUUUUAUUUAA
rnacentral:lncRNA from 1 species